GCUUAGUCAGAUGCUGCAGACCCGAAACGAAGUGAUCUAUCCAUGAGCAAGUUGAAGCUAGUGUAAGAACUAGUGGAGGACUGAACCCAUAGGCGUUGAAAAGCCCCGGGAUGACUUGUGGAUAGGGGUGAAAGGCCAAUCAAACUUCGUGAUAGCUGGUUCUCUCCGAAAUAUAUUUAGGUAUAGCGUUGUGUCGUAAUAUAAGGGGGUAGAGCACUGAAUGGGCUAGGGCAUACACCAAUGUACCAAACCCUAUCAAACUCCGAAUACCUUAUAUGUAAUCACAGCAGUCAGGCGGCGAGUGAUAAAAUCCGUCGUCAAGAGGGAAACAACCCAGACUACCAGCUAAGGUCCCUAAAUCUUACUUAAGUGGAAAACGAUGUGAAGUUACUUAAACAACCAGGAGGUUGGCUUAGAAGCAGCCAUCCUUUAAAGAAAGCGUAAUAGCUCACUGGUCUAGUGAUUUUGCGCGGAAAAUAUAACGGGGCUAAAGUAAGUACCGAAGCUGUAGACUUGCACACAACUUAGAUUAUUUAAGUUUAGAAUAUGAGAAACUAAGUUAUAUGUUUAGUUAUAUUUUUACUGAUUUUUAUAGAGUAAAGAUAGAAAUAAAACUUAGUAAAAUCAGUAAAAAUAUUCUUAGACUAAAGUUAAGUAGUUUAAGUUGUGUGCAAGUGGUAGGAGAGCGUUCUAUUUGCGUCGAAGGUAUACCGGUAAGGAGUGCUGGAGCGAAUAGAAGUGAGCAUGCAGGCAUGAGUAGCGAUAAUUAAUGUGAGAAUCAUUAACGCCGUAAACCCAAGGUUUCCUACGCGAUGCUCGUCAUCGUAGGGUUAGUCGGGUCCUAAGUCGAGUCCGAAAGGGGUAGACGAUGGCAAAUUGGUUAAUAUUCCAAUACCAACAUUAGUGUGCGAUGGAAGGACGCUUAGGGCUAAGGGGGCUAGCGGAUGGAAGUGCU
rnacentral:rRNA from 1 species